AGUGAGGAGGCGAAGCGUGUUCGUCGUCGGGCGCUAAGGGCUUGUUGAGAAAGUCACCAGUCACAGGUGUGUACAUGUGACACCGGCACCUUGAAGUCUCUGGAGCCCUGGAAACUCCUGCAGCUCUGUCCACUGAAGAGGCCCAGAAGCAAUGUUAUCCAGAGGUA